rnacentral:rRNA from 1 species
AACGAACGCUGGCGGCAGGCCUAACACAUGCAAGUCGAGCGAGGACUUCGGUUCUAGCGGCGGACGGGUGAGUAACGCGUGGGAAUGUGCCCUUCUCUACGGAAUAGCCCUGGGAAACUGGGAGUAAUACCGUAUACGCCCUUUUGGGGAAAGAUUUAUCGGAGAAGGAUCAGCCCGCGUUGGAUUAGGUAGUUGGUGGGGUAAUGGCCUACCAAGCCGACGAUCCAUAGCUGGUUUGAGAGGAUGAUCAGCCACACUGGGACUGAGACACGGCCCAGACUCCUCCGGGCGGCCGCCGUGGGGCCUCUUCGCCCCUGGGGGCCCCCCUGCUCUAGCCAUGCCGCGUGAGUGAUGAAGGCCUUAGGGUUGUACCGCUCUUUCCGCUGGGCCGAUCCUGCCGGUCCCCGCCGAAGACGCCCCGGCUCCCUCCGU